UACAGAGGUCUCAAGCGUUGUUCGGAUUCAUUGGGCGUAAAGGGUGCGUAGGCGGCGACUCAAGUUAGAUGUGAAAGUCCUGGGCUUAACCGAGGAACUGCCUGUCAGACUGGAAGGCUUGAGACCGGGAGAGGUGAGUGGAAUUCCCAGUGUAGCGGUGAAAUGCGUAGAUAUUGGGAGGAACACCAGUGGCGAAGGCGGCUCACUGGACCGGAACUGACGCUGAGGCGCGAAAGCGUGGGGAGCAAACAGG
rnacentral:rRNA from 1 species